AUCCUAUAGAGUGUUUGGUUGUUGGACCCCUAUUUAGGAUUUUAGGAACAAAAGCCUUUCUCAAUGGCUUUUAAGGUGGUCUGUUCCCAAUAAGCCAUUGAGAAAGGCCUUUCCCAAGGCCUUCAACUCUCUGAAUACUGAGAUUACGGAUGCCAAAAAUAUAUUCUUUCUAUUGAUGAAUUCUAAUUCUGAGAAGAGAUCGGGGCCCCAGG
rnacentral:lncRNA from 1 species